rnacentral:rRNA from 1 species
AAUGAACGUUGGCGGCGUGGAUUAGGCAUGCAAGUCGUACGCACAGCUUCGGCUGUGAGUGGCGCAAGGGUGAGUAAUGCGAAGGUAACCAACCCUGGAGUUGGGCAUAACCGCGGGAAACUGCGGGUAAUUCCCAGCGAUGUCGCGAGAUGGCAUCAUCUUGCGACCAAAAGGUGUGAUUCCGCUCUAGGACGGGCCUUCGUGGUAUUAGGUAGUUGGUGAGGUAACGGCUCACCAAGCCGACGAUGCCUACCGGGUGUGAGAGCAUGACCCGGCACACUGGAACUGAGACACUGUCCAGACACCUACGGGUGGCUGCAGUCGAGAAUCUUCGGCAAUGGGCGAAAGACCUGACCGAGCGACGCCGCGUGAGGGAAGAAGGCCUCGGUUGGUUAAACCGUACCUUUCGUUA